rnacentral:rRNA from 1 species
CGCGCACCGAGUCGCCCCCAUCCCCCCUCGAUCAUCCCUCGAGGCGGCGGGAGCGGAGAAUGCCCCCCGUGCCCUUAGGUGCGCGGUCGGCCCAAACACAGGCCCCGGUAGGCCGACGUCACGAUCCGUGGUGGUUGUAAAAGACACGCAUUUCGGAUCACGCGCACGCCGCGCCGCACCCCGGGCCACUGCGACCCCCCGAGGGCUCCCCGGACGGCACCCACUCU